AUUGAACGCUGGCGGCAGGCCUAGCACAUGCAAGUCGAGCGGCAGCGGGAAAGUAGCUUGCUACUUUUGCCGGCGAGCGGCGGACGGGUGAGUAAUGCCUGGGAAAUUGCCCAGUCGAGGGGGAUAACAGUUGGAAACGACUGCUAAUACCGCAUACGCCCUACGGGGAAAGCAGGGGACCUUCGGGCCUUGCGCGAUUGGAUAUGCCCAGGUGGGAUUAGCUAGUUGGUGAGGUAAUGGCUCACCAAGGCGACGAUCCCUAGCUGGUCUGAGAGGAUGAUCAGCCACACUGGAACUGAGACACGGUCCAGACUCCUACGGGAGGCAGCAGUGGGGAAUAUUGCACAAUGGGGGAAACCCUGAUGCAGCCAUGCCGCGUGUGUGAAGAAGGCCUUCGGGUUGUAUAGCACUUUCAGCGAGGAGGAAAGGUUGUUGGCUAAUAUCCAACAGCUGUGACGUUACUCGCAGAAGAAGCACCGGCUAACUCCGUGCCAGCCGCCGCCGUAAAAC
rnacentral:rRNA from 1 species